AUUAUAGGAUAUGUCAUAGAAUACCCCACCACUGGAGGCAGGCUAAUGACUACCCAGUAGAUGAGUGUGUUUAUGAGGGGAUUAAAAAAGGACAAGGAAUACAACUUCCACAUACGGGCCAAGAAUCUUGAAGGUUUUAGUGAGUCUAGUGAUGUGAUUGGUCCUAUAACUCCCAAGCCCAAAUACACCAAGGUUUUGCCACCUGGUGUACCAGAGGCUGUCAACAAUUCUAUAACUUAUCUGAAAUGGGAACCCCCUAAACAUAAUGGUGG